rnacentral:rRNA from 1 species
GACGAACCGUACGAACGUUAUUCGGAAUCACUGGGCUUAAAGGGUGCGUAGGCGGCGCGAACAAGUUGGGUGUGAAAUCCCUCGGCUCAACCGAGGAACUGCGCCCAAAACUGUCGUGCUCGAGGGAAGACAGAGGUGAGCGGAACUUAGGGUGGAGCGGUGAAAUGCGUUGAUAUCCUAAGGAACACCGGGUGGCGAAAGCGGCUCACUGGGUCUCUUCUGACGCUGAGGCACGAAAGCUAGGGUAGCGAACGGGG